GGAUCACUCAGUGAUGAUGUUGCUUCAAAUUUAACAAAUCGUAUAAAACUACGAUUAACAGAUUUUGAUAAGGAUUUACAAGAUAAAAAGAAAUCGAAUGAGGCAGAAAUUGCAGCUGCAUGGCAUCUAUACGACAUUGCAAACCGCGAAUGGAGCGAAAAGGAGGCGCAAAAACAGGCUAAAGCAGAUAUUAAGAACGGCAUUUUAAAGCGCAUUAAAGAGAAAGAGGAUGAACGUGAUGUGCUUGAACGGCAGAUUUCUGAUGUUAAUGUGGCUCAUCUUGAUGAGAGGGAAAAGAAAAUGCAAAUCGAAUCUGAGAGGAAGUCUAAGCAGCUGGCAGAAAGAGAAUUUGAUUUGAACAUAAGGCAAAAACAGACUGAGAUGUACACCGUAGACCAAAAACUAAAAGAUCUCCGCGAUGAAAAAGAUCAUAUGGCAGCUGAGUCUGAGGACAGAAUUAAGCUCUCUCUUAAGAAGGCAGAGUUGGGAAUUCUCGAGAAGAAUCAUAAAAAGAUAAUAGAUGAUAAUAAGGAUAAGAUAAAAGGAGUGUUGAAAGGAAGGCUUCCAUCUGACAAGGACUUGAAGAACGAAAUUACUCAGGCACAAAGGGCUCUUCAGAGAGAGGUUGAUGACUUGAGUGUCAAAUCCCGCGAAGCUGAGAAAGAGGUCAAUAUGUUGCAGAUGAAAAUAGAAGAAGUCAAUCAGAACUUGACCAAAUAUCACAAAGACAUGGACUCAAGAAAGAGAUUUCUGGAAUCAAAGCUCCAGUUUAUGGACCAGGAAUUUGCUGGUAUAGAGUCCUAUCCCAAAAUUAUGGACUCAGUCAAAGAGAAAAGGGAUGUCCUGAAAAGCAAGUUCAACAUUGCCGAUGGUAUGCGGCAAAUGUUCGAUCCAUUUGAAAGAGUUGCUCGUGCUCAUCAUAUUUGCCCUUGUUGUGAGCGUCCUUUCUCUGCUGAAGAGGAGGAUGAAUUUGUUAAGAAGCAACGUGUAAAAGCUGCAAGCUCUGCUGAGCAUAUUAAAGUAUUGGCUAUGGAGUCUUCGAAUGCUGAUUCUCGUUUCCAACAAAUAGACAAGCUUCGUUUGGUUUAUGAAGAGUAUGUCAAAGUUGGAAAGGAGUCAAUACCUCAAGCGGAGAAGAACUUAAAUGAGCUGAAUGAAGAAUUGGACCAAAAAAAUCAGGCUCUUGAUGAUGUGUUAGGUGUCUUGGCUCAGAUAAAGGCUGAGAAGGAUGCAGUUGAUGCGCUAAUACAACCUGUAGAAACAUUUGACAGGCUUUUCCAAGAAAUUCAAGCUCGGCAGAAGCAGGUUGAUGAUUUGGAAUAUGGUCUAGAUAUCCGUGGGCAAGGGGUAAGAUCCAUGGAGGAAAUUCAAUCAGAAUUGGAUGAACUGCAGAGCAAAAAAGACAAUUUGUAUACGGAGGUGGAGAAGCUGAGAAAUGACCAGAGAUACAUGGAAAAUGAAUAUGCAAGUUUCCAACUAAGAUGGGCUAAUGUAAGGGAAGAGAAGUCACGAGUAGCAAACCGAUUGGAGCAAAUUAAAAGGAUAGAAGAGGAAUUGGAUCGCUUCACGGAGGAGAAAAAUCAAAUUGAGCUUGAAGAGAAGCAUCUUGCAGACGCUUUUGGUUCCUUAUUGAAGGAAAAGGACAAACACUUUAGAGACCACAAGGAUCUGAAAAUAAAACUUGGUGAACAGUUGGAAGAGCAGGCAGAAGUUAGAAGAAAUUAUCAACAGGAAGUAGAUUCACUUUUGAAGAUUACCUCCAAAAUUAAAGAGUAUUAUGAUUUGAAGAAAGAACAAAGAUUGAAUGAACUGCAGGACAAGCGAAACCUGUCAGAAUCUCAACUCCAAAGUUGCGAGUCCAGAAAGGAUGUGAUUUUGGCUGAAGUGAAGAAAAGUAAGGAUUUAAUGGGGAACCAGGAUAGCUUGAGACGUAACAUUGAGGAUAACUUGAACUAUCGUAAAAUUAAGUCUGAAGUUGAUGAGCUCACUCAUGAGAUUGAAUUACUGGAAGAUAAAGUGCUGACGUUGGGUGGGUUUUCUACUGUUGAAGCUGAGCUUAAAAAGCUUUCACACGAAAGAGAGAGGCUACUCUCUGAGUUAAACAAGUGUGAUGGCACCUUAUCUGUUUAUCAAAGCAAUAUCUCCAAGAACAAAGUUGAUCUUAAGCAGGCACAAUACAAGGAUAUUGACAAACGCUAUUUUGAUCAGCUAAUCCAGCUUAAGACUACAGAGAUGGCAAACAAGGAUCUGGACAGAUAUUACAAUGCCCUCGAUAAAGCACUGAUGCGAUUCCACUCGAUGAAAAUGGAAGAAAUAAAUAAGAUCA
rnacentral:misc_RNA from 1 species